GGGUCAGUAGGUUGGUCGUGCCACUGGUACGUACUGGUCUCACUGAUUCCUCCUUCCUGAAGAACCGUAAUGCCAUUAAUUUGGUGUUGCGGGGAAGCAGGACUGUUACUUUGAAAAAAUUAGAGUGUUUAUAGCAAGCUAACGCUUGAAUACAUUAGCAUGGAAUAAUGAAAUAGGACGAUCGAUCCUAUUUUGUUGGUUUCUAGGAUUGACGUA
rnacentral:rRNA from 1 species